rnacentral:rRNA from 1 species
AAUCUGGCUCAGGACGAACGCUGGCGGCGCGCCUAACACAUGCAAGUCGAACGAGAGAUGAGGAGCUUGCUCUUCAAAUCGAGUGGCGAACGGGUGAGUAACGCGUGAGGAACCUGCCUCAAAGAGGGGGACAACAGUUGGAAACGACUGCUAAUACCGCAUAAGCCCACGGCUCGGCAUCGAGCAGAGGGAAAAGGAGUGAUCCGCUUUGAGAUGGCCUCGCGUCCGAUUAG